rnacentral:rRNA from 2 species
UACGUAGGGGGCAAGCGUUAUCCGGAUUUACUGGGUGUAAAGGGAGCGUAGACGGCGAUGCAAGUCUGAAGUGAAAUACCCGGGCUCAACCUGGGAACUGCUUUGGAAACUGUAUGGCUAGAGUGCUGGAGAGGUAAGCGGAAUUCCUAGUGUAGCGGUGAAAUGCGUAGAUAUUAGGAAGAACACCAGUGGCGAAGGCGGCUUACUGGACAGUAACUGACGUUCAGGCUCGAAAGCGUGGGGAGCAAACAGG